GUGCAUCAUGUGAGUGCUACCAUACAGACAGUUGUGAGCCUCUAUGUGGGGCAGCAAAUAGUCUUAACUGCUAAGUUAUCUCUCCAGCCCCAUACUACUCCAACUGCCCCGCUCUGAAGUCAUCACUUCUUCUCCCAGGGCACCAACCAGUGUCUUUAUGUCUCCCAUGGCUACAUCCACCACAUUUCAAAAUUUAUUAUUAAUCCCCUUAUGGAAUUCAUCUCCAAGCACGGUGGAUACUGGCUUUGUGGUGGCUUUCAGAUUUAGUUCUUAGGAGCAGGUCUGGUGCCUCUGGCCAAACCUUGUGUCUGCUAACCUGGGCUCUCUAUAAGGCCCUACUAUUCUUACUUCGGUCCGGUAUGCAUUCAUACUGAAAGGUCUUUAGAAGCUCCCUUUAAUUAUGUUAAUCUGCUGUUCACAAGUCUCCAAAUUGUUCCCUCCUGUUUAUUGGAUGGACCUCAAAGUCUCUGUGUGGGAUUCAGACCUCUGUGAAAUCUGACCUCUUUCCUCCCCAGCCAGUGCUCUGGGUUUCUGCCUGCCUUACAAGCCCUCUUCCCCAGCCAACAGUGUAGCAGUCCAUAAGAGACCCUGAGCCCUCCUCCUGUUCCUCUCAGGGCUCCCCAGGUGGUAGCUCCAUUUCCAGCCACAUGCAUACAUUUCCUCACCAUUUGAGGUUAAGUUUAAUCCAUUUAGGUUGCCUUCUCCUGAACAAGCCAGCUGCCCUUCCCAGCCUCUGGCACACUCACAGAUGGGAUUUCUGAUUUGCUGUAUCACUAGCCUUCGGUGUUAUCUCCUUGGUUACAUCAUAUACCCUUGGAAUUGGGCAACCAGACCUUGCAAUGCUCAGCCUCGUGUAGUAUGAAUAGGUUUCUCCAGUCCUUUUGGAGAGACCUGAAGUAGACUGCUCAGACAAGUAGCAGAGUAAUUAUGUAGGUCCUCUGACUGAUUCUUUGUUGUCACUAGAGUGCCUGUAGCUGAAGUCCCCAUGAGAAACAGCAGGAUAUGCAUGGCAUGUGGCUCCCCACCCUGUUCUCUGGGGCUGGCAGGAAGGCCUCUGUCCUCCCUCUUCAUUCCUGGUUUUACUGGGAUGCUGCCAUGUAUCCAUCUCUGCCUCUAUUUGAUCCCACCUCCUGCUGAAGAUGUCCCUUGUGCUUUAUUUUGGCUGCCAGUUUCCCUACUCUGUCCGUUGAGGUUCAUGUGCUUAAGGUGUGCCACUGGAGAGGUAGCCACGUCUCUUGCAAGUGACUUCUUCCCAUGAAGGGUAAUUUGAGAGAUGUGAACAUUCUGUUUCCAAUAGCUCUUAUUCCUCUGACAGCCUAGCCCAGUGAGAAAUUCCAAGGGAAUAGCCAAAAUGUGGGGAAUGUUAGGGCAAAGAUCCUAUGUGUGAAAAUCUGGAAGGCUGCCUGCAUACACUACUGAUGGAGGAAGUUACACACGUUCUAAUAAUGUUUCUAUCUAAAGAUGAGAUUUCCAAGUCACAAGCAGAAGAUGAGCAAGCCUGGGCUGGGGGUAAGAUUGUUGCAAACAUAGGUUUUAGAAGGGCUCAGGAGAAAAUCUCUGUGUACACAGAGUAGGUAAGGCUAUGCAGGGUGGGGUGGGUGCUAAAUCAUGUACUAAAGCAAGACAAAUACUCACAGGACAGCAGUCACUGACCACACCACUUUUUGUGUUGCAUUGACUUGGAAGCAGGAUUUGGUUUGUUGCCCUUUAAGGUCCUCCAAGUUGGCAAAUGGAGAUUAAAGGAAUUUCCCUUAUCUCAUGUCAUGUUCUGGCUUUGGGAAGGAUGUCAAGACAACUUCAUUUUCUUUCCUCCCUUUGCAUGUGCAUAUGUGUGCAUGUUCAUGUGUGCAGGGGCACAGGUGUGUGCAGAUGUGCAGAGGCUGGAAGACAACCGUGGAUGUGACUCCUUAGAGGCUACCUUCCCCAUCCCACCCCCACCAGCUCACUCGCUUGGAACUUAGCAAAUAGGUGGGGCUGACCCACCAGUAAUCCCAGGAGUCUGGUUGUCUCUGCCUUCCCAGCACUGACAAGGGUGUGAGUAGCUCUUCUAUACAUGUCCUCUGAAAACCAAACUCAGGUCCUCAUGCUUGCCAGGCAAGUGCUUUUAGUGCCUAAGUUAUCUCCCCAGCCCCACCUUUCCCUUCUCAUUUACCGCAGGCAUCUUUUUGUAGAUGCAGUGAGAGGUUGGUUGAAGGUCAAAUCCAUUUUGGGAAAACAUGGGUGCUGCUGAGGCUGGAAGGUCACCUCAUCAGCUGUCAAUCUAUUCACAGCCUCCUUUCAUAUGAUGUUGGCUUGCUCUGGUCUGAGACAGAGUUCUGUAGUCUCGGGGUAGGAAAGGACCUCAAGGACUCUCAAGCUCAACUUUCCCCAAGGUAAAGGGAUAGCAGCUCCUUGGUACAUGAGUAUAAAGCAGGGGUUAUCAACCUUCAUAAUGCUAUAAACCUUUAGUACAGUUUCUUGUGUUGUGGUAAAUACCAACCAUAAAAUUAUUUUCAUAGCUACUUCAUAACAGUAAUUUUGCUACUGUUAUGAGAAUUUAUUGUCAGAUGGUCUUAGGUGACCCCUGUAAAAGGAGUCAUUCAAUCCUCAAAGUGGUCAUAGCCCACAGGUUGAUAACCACUAGUAUAUAGUCUUGUUGGCCCAGUCUAAUGGUGGGAAUUUCACUUGGAGUCCACCUAUGAUGCUAAAGUGUGCCUAAAGUGUGCCCUGGAAUAUAUAUCCAGGUAACCUGCAAGUGACUUUUACCUGUGAAGCAUAACUUGAGAGAUUCCAUUUGAGACACAAGUCCAUCAGAGCAGUAAGACGGGUGAGAAACUUUUCAGAGUCCCUGGUAAUUAAAUAAAAGUAAAAUCAAAGCAAAGAGAUGUUGUACUUUCCUUAACAAAUUGGCAAAGACCCUUAAGAGGUUAGAACUCAGCUGUGGGCAAAGAAGUGGGCUUAUACCCGUUUGCAGAUGGCUAUUUGGCUAUGUGUGUUAAAAGCCUUUUAAAAAAAUCUGUCCUUUUUAGGUAGGCAAUGUCAGAUCUUGUAUUUUGUUUUAGGAAAAUAUUUGUAUUUCAAAGGUCUGGGCUCAGUGACAGAAUGCUUGCAUAACAUGCUCAAAGCCUAGGUUCAAUCUUCAGUACCAGGGGGGAAAUAUCAAAGAAAUAAUGGUGUUUGUGUGGAAAGGAUUUAGGUAGAUGGAGUUUUUCCUAGUGCAAAUGUUUAUAUAAAUUGAGUGGAAGGAGCAGCCAAGUCUCUAACAGUAGGGGCUGGUUAUGGACAUAAACUUUUCUUUGGGCUUUUCACAUCCUUUACUCCCGUCUCCUCAUCUCUGCUGUUAGGGCAGACCUGUUGGCUUGAUAGUUUUAUGGCUGAAAUGACAGGAAUUUCCCCUGGGCCAGCACUCAAGCUAACUUAGGUAGUGCCUCUCCCAAGUUGAAGCCUGUGUUUCACAUCACAGCUUCCCAUGAUAGACACCGGAAGUGGAAACUAUGCUCUAUGCCAUAGGAUCUCAUGUUGGUACAAGGUGCUGAAGACUCGCAGAUUACACACAACACUGCUUUACAGUUUGAAAAAAAUAGUUAAAAAGCUCAUAAUUAAAUAAAAAUUACAUCUGCCUAUUCAGUGUGUAUCUUUGCAUGUGCAUGCAAGUGCCUAUGUGGGUGUACGUAUGUGCGUGUACACAGGCAUGAACUACAGCAAAUGUGGAAGUCAGAGGACAGUUUGCAGGGGUGGCUUCUCUCUAUCUAUCUCUCAUAUGGUUCUGUGAUUGAAUUUUUGUCAUCAGGCUUGGUCUGAAGUCUUAUUCACUGAGCUACCUUAAUGGACCCCAUGUUUAAUAUUUAUUCAGAUUCUGACUUUUAGUAGUCAUCCAUUUUUAAUCCAUCAGUUCCCAGAUUUUCCUUGCACUCUUUCUACCAGUAAGCAAAGCAAUAGCUACUUAGAGCCAGCAUUGUGGAAAUCUGCCUGAGCCUGGCUUACAUGAGCUUUCACAUGCUGGGGAAGGCCAAUUACAGGGAGCCAUUUGUGGGUGUUGACUAUAGGCUGGCUAUGUUUUGAGCUCAUGUUGAUAUUUCAUAUUUUCUCUUUAUAACUUUUAUUAACACUGGGCAGAAGGUGGCCUUAUUCCCCAAAGCUACCCAGCCAGUAGCAGCAGAGCUAAGACUUGACUGGGGUAGGAACCUCAGAAGCAGACUCCAGUCUGGCCGAGUAGGUGUUGCUCUCAGGUGGGUAAUGUCUGACGGAAGCACAUGGAAGCUUCCCUCGCUGCCUCAGGGAGGAAAGUUUGCUACAACACAGAAAACUAAACUCAGCCUUAAGCUCUGGUCUUCUAGGUAGAGAGGCAGGCAGGAGGAGUAUUGGGGAGACUUGGCCUUGAACCCCAUUCUGUCUUCUUUACAUGCAAUUUUGAGCAAAUCACUUUUCUCAGUCCCCUCACUGGCAGAGCAGGCAUAAGAACACCCACCCAUACUGGCAUCGUGCUGUCAGAGUGCAAUAGUAUAUGUAAUACUUGGAACCCAAUGAGCCUUUCUGAGUAUCACAUCCUUCCCAGGUCCCCUGAGUGAGAAACGCCAAGCUAGUUAGAACAGUCAAGAAUGGGCUUUAUAUACUUACUUAGGCUGACUCACACUUCAGUGCAUUUUUAAGGCAUUAUAUUUUUAUUUUUAUUUAUAUGUAUGUGCCUGCUUGUCUGCACGAGCAUACGUGUGUGUAGUGUCCAUGGAGGCCAGGAGAGAGUAUCCAAUCUCCUGUGCCUGGAGUUGCAGGCACGUGUGAGCUAUCCAGUGUGGGUUAUGGAUAUUGGACUUGGGACCUCAGCAAGAGCAGCAAGUGCUCUUAACAGCUGAGCCAUCUCUCCAGCCUGCUUUAAGUCACUUAGAUUUAUUUCAUGUAAACUAUAGCUCCCCUUCCUGGUGCUGUAUGAGCUCUUCAUAGCACCCCACCCACACCAUCAGAACAACUCUCUUCUCUCUGUAGGCUUGACCUUAAGUGCUGCUGCAGCUGGACUGCUUCAGGAGAAGUAGCUCUCCUCUUCCGAGCAUGGAGGGCUGCGGUGGAUUGAAGCAGAGUAUGCAGAGAGGCUAAGGCCUUGGUUUGGGUGCCAACUGUGACCAGGGAGUGAGACUUCCUGUGGUGGGGGAGGAAGACUGGGUGGCUGGGUUGGAGACUAGCAUCUGGGUCAGGAGGGAGGACUGAGCUGGGUAGAACUCAGCAGAUUCCUUGGCAUGCACUGCAGGAGGAUUCCCUGAAGGGCUGCACAGAAAAAUAUGCUGUGUGCUCAGCAGGCCAGAAACCACAGAGACCCUAGCCAGGCUCUUGGAUGAUUUGGGAGCAGAAAAGCAGACUCCCCAGGUGGUUAUUUAUAGAGCCAGCAGCAGUAAUGAUCAGUUAGAAAAAUAAAUUAUAACUCAGUUGAACCUGAAAUAACUUUGCUUUUGCAACCUUAGGCUUUCCGAAUGGGUCGCUCAGAUGUCACUCCUUCCCAGCAGUGUUCCUGCAGGCUGAGGAGCAGUCUCCUACUAGGCUCACAUAUGCCCGCCCAGAGCUUCAGAGGCAACUGAGAGGGAGCUUUUUGCAAGAGCCAGGGGGCAUCCUGUCUGGAUGACACCUUUCUUUCUCCCAUGAAUCCACAAAACGGUGCUGUGUUCCCUCCUCCUCAUUGACAUGAGAGAAUGGCAUGUAGAGAUUGGGAGGCAUGGAUUAUAUUAGUCUGUUUUCUGUCAUUGUGGUAACACACAAAAGCAAUGUAUAGAGGGAAGGUUUAUUUGGGCUCACCGUUCCAGAGGGAUAUGUCUAUUACAUGGGAGGCACGGGGCAAGCAGGCAUGGAAACUGCGAGAUUACAUCUUUAACUGCAAGCAAGAAGCAGAGGGAGCAAACUGGAUGUGGGAUGAGGCUAUAUACUGUCAAAACCCACUCCCCAUGACAUGUCCUACAGCAAGGCCACGCCUUUCAAACCUCCCCAAAUAACACACGGCCUAGGGAUUAAGUGUUCAGACACACGAGCCUCUGGGGAUACAUUUCUCAUCCUAGUUAAUAUGGACAUAGGUAGACCUUAAAGGGAAUGGAGACCCAUGGCAUGCCAAGCCUCAGCUUAUGGUCAGUACAGUCUUGGCCACAGACAGAGAUUCUGGUGCAGAUAGCCUCAGACAAAAUGGUGGCUGACUCACUUAGAGAUCUCAUCUUUCAUCCUUCUCUCUGCCAACAAGCAAGACCGUGCGAUGUUCACAUUGACAGCUUGGCAGAAGGGUCACCAUGAGCUUGCCCAGCCCACUGCUUGAGGUCUUGACACUUGGGCAUCCAUCUGGCUUCCCCUCUCCUACCCAUCUGUUCUUUCUGUUUAUUUGCAUUCAUUCAUUGAUUCAUUGAUUCACUCAUUCAUUCAUGCAUGCAUGUAUGUAUGCAUUCAUUCAUUAGUCUUCUAAGCAAUCAUUUAAUUAUUCAGUGUCUUAUUAUGCACCAGAUACUGAUGAUGCAAGAAUCUAAGUUACUAUCUAGAUAUUAUAAAGGAUUAGCCUGUAAGCCCAUUGCAGCUAUAGCUACCCUGUAUUUGGCUCUCAACACAGUGUCUUAAAUCUGUGUGCUCUAUUGAUACAUAAAGCCCAGCUGAUUUCUUAUGAGAAAAGAGACACCCAACUUGUGCAGGAACAACUGAAGUCCUGGCCCUGUAAGCCAUGUCCUACAUGGUAGCAUUCUCUAGUCAGGCUAGUAGCCUGUUAGAUCAACCCAGCUCCUCGAUUCAUUUCAGUGCCUGUGACUUUUUAGUCUUGGGUCAACAGCAGGGCAGCCAUUCCUGUCUCACAAACGCACUGAUUCUCCUGCAUGUCACUGUCCUGGCCAUGCAAUAAAUUGAUGUUGAAUCCAGAUGUGGUUCCUAAGCUAAGUCUCAUGGUCUGGGGACCAGCAAUCAGCCGAUGUGUGUAAGGUGUUGUGAGAGUCCCGUCCAUUGGGAGGACAGGGGGCAGAAUGCCUGCUGGCUUUAAUAGGAGUCCAGUUUGACAGUUUAGUGAGCAUAGGGUAAGAAGAUGCUGAGAGGGCCUCUCUGGACCAAGCAGUGGGCAUGCGCAGGAGCUCUGAUGAGUCCUGGAGACAGCGCCAAGCAAACUCUAGCAAAGGUCAAAGCAAAACAGUCCCACUGAUGGGAUUUCAGACCAACUCUGCCCAAGCUCAAGCCUGUAGACAGGCCCUAGCCAUAUCUGCCAUAGCUGCCUAAAGUAGCAGCGGCCGGUGGUUCCUCCUCGCUCUUCCCACAGAGCGGUAUGUGUGCUUCCCUGUCCCUUCCCUCUUCCCUUCUAGCCCCUUCUUGCUUCAUCUCUGGGGCAGUAGUCCCCGCGUGUGAGAUGCUUUGGUCUUCUCCUUGGGUGUGCACACAUUCUUUACCAUGUACAGGCAGAUGUCAAGUGUCUCCUCGCUGACAUCAUCAGCCCAGAGCCAGCUGAGAUACAGUUAGAGGCUCCAGGCAACUUGUGGAGGACUUGCCUUAGAUAGCUCCCAGACGCCCUGGACUCCAGCUAACACCCCAGCAGCCACCCUACACCGCAUCAGCUCAUAUCCCUCCCGUCUUCCUCUUUUCACUCACUGCCCAUCUCCUGAAUGUUGAAAUCCUUCCAUUCUUCAGCCCUUGGUGAGAGUUCCCUGAGGCCUUCCUGGCUCAGGAGGCCACCAAUAAACGCCUAUUACAUUAUAAGCAACAUUUCCAGAAAACUGAGAGCUUACCCAUGCUCCAAAUGCCCUGUGAACAUAGCAGGGCAUUGCCCGUGGACAAGGUGGCCUUGCCCAGUCCUUUACUCUGCUCCCCACAUGGUCCAACAUGGAUGCUUUUUUUUUUUUUAAAUUGCAGUUAACUCUGAUACCAUACAUGAUGGUGAUGUGAGAUUAUCUGUCCCCAGCCUGACUGUAGGUUGGCUAAUGAUAGGGACUGGCUACUGCAUAGUGUCUUCAUGAGAAUGUAGCAUAGUUCUACAUAUGCUCUCAGCUGUCCGUGACUAACAGCCAGUGGCCAUAUUGAAUGAUUCCCUAAUAGAGACGAUAAUGUUACUCUUUACAUGAGAGUUGUCAUUAAAGUUACCACCCAGGAAAAAGUGACAGUGGAUUGGGAGUGAUUGAGUCAGAGGAAGGAAUGCCAUCUAUAACAUGAAGUUGUCUUUUAGCCGUCACAGUUGGCAAGGGAUAUUUGAAGAAGAAGAGCACAGACUGUGUCAUAAGGUGUAUAACUAUCACCCAAGGAUCCCUGAAAAAGCAGUUUCAGUGGUAAGAGUGCACUGGACUCCUCUAACGUUUCUAGCUGUGGGACUUGGAGAUCUAGAAACUUUGAUCGGGAAGUGGAGGGCUCUUGACUUGUUUCACAGCUCACAGUUCAGGUUCCACUGACUGUGCCUGACCUUCCUCUGUGGCCCUGACAGUGGCCCUCUCCUGGGAGACCAGGCAUGGCUCUGCUUGUGAACAUUGCUGCUAGCUCCAGAUGUCCAGUGUUCCACCCCUGAGCUGCUGCUCCAUGACUGGAGUGUCUCCACAGCUGGUGCUGGGGGCUCAGCAAGACCAAGAGAAUCAUUUGCAGAACAGGGCUGAUGGAGAUGUAUGCCUGAGACGUGUCACCUGCCCUGACCCUGAGAGACUUGAGAGGUUUACUGUUAGUAACUCCAGUGGCAGGCUCUACACUUGCUGUCGUCAGAGCACGUCUGCCCGUGCUAACUCCUUUCUUCCUCACAGAUAAAAUCCACCAGCCUUGGGUAUCCUCAGCCAUUUCCAUUGUAAAUGAAGAAGCAAAACCUCAGAGAGCUAAGUCUCUCUGGUUAACAUAGGGUUUGAAGCCAGUAAGUUCUUUUGCUCUUAAAGCAUUUCAUGAUUCUCUGCACCGGGUUGCCUUAUGGGCUCUCUGUCCAGGUAAACCUGCCUCACCAGCAUCUUUCUUUCCAAAGGAGUUGAACUAGGAGGGGAUGUGGCACAGCUUCAGUCCCAGGACUGUCUGUGCCUUCUCUCUCCUGUCACUGAGCACUCCCACCUAAAGACACCUCUCCCCUUUCACAUCCUUCUGAAGCCUGAGCUCCCAUGACCAAAGGGAGAGGAAAGGAGGGCGUCUCAGAUUCCGACCGCGGGAACUGUUACGCCUGGUGCCCAGACCUCUUUACUUUGUACAUUUAUUCACUCACCCAGUGGACUUGGUAGAGAACCUGCCAUGGACCAGACACUGUCGAGGUAUUGGGGUGACAGUGAAGUCCUUGUACCUUUGAGCUCACUGGUGAGCACUGGGUGGAGAGAAGUGAGUGAACGAGUGGUAAAAAAAUGCUUCAGUAGUGCUCAGGAGAUGGAGAAAACACAAAAGGCAAGGCAAGGCAUAUGGCUACACAGGGCGAGCCGGGAGCUGGCGGGGAGCUGGUUAGGAGAGACUCGAAGGGGAAGCUCCGGCUUGUGGGGCACAGGGAACCUGGCGUGAGAAAGCUGGGAGCAGCAGUUUUCCAGGAAGAGGGGCUAGCCAGGGCAAAGGGCCAAGUGGAGCUGCAGAACACAGUGCUGGGAAAUGAUAUUUGUCAUGGUGGUUAGGCUGUGCUGUCAUCACUAUGGUUCAGCAGUUCUGUGCUUCCUGAGGAGUUAUCCGAGAUCUCUCCUCUUCCUUCCCCGAGCUGUGGGAUUUCUGAGAAGACCAUGUCUGAGGUCUGGGCCCACAGUUGAAAACUCACAGCUGAUCUUGGAGCAGCCAAGCAUCGCCUCAGUCAUGGCCUUGCUCAGCAGUGGCUGUGGUGUGUAGUGAACGCUUUGACAGAGUACAGGAAGAGAAGCCCAAACACGCCCAUCAGAGACGUCCCUGACCCCACGGGCUCCAGCAAUGGCACACAACAGGGGUUUUUCUAGGACUCUAUGAUUUUAAGAAUGGCUCUGGGGCUUCUAGUUUGGACUCUGUUCUUGGCUUGUUAUUUAAUUGUUUCUUUGAACAAACACCUGCUCUGGAUUUUGUUUGAAGAAUGAAUGAAUAAAUGAGUGAAUAUAUGAAGUAGGCAGAUUCAAAGAACGUUAAGGCUUUUCUUGUUCUUUGUCUUAUAAUGAAAAUGUUACAUUGGUCAAAAUUUUCUUUGUAUUGUAGUUUCUUUCUGCCCCUCUUUUGGAUGAGUUUUGAGUCCUGAUAGUAGACAGACAGACAGACAGACAGACAGACAGACAUUGGUGGUAGAUUUCAUGUUAAAUAGGUGCUACCACUGAACUCUCUUGGUAUGAAUCUGAGGUUCUCAAAGCAUAGCAUCUAGACCACAGCCACAGUAACUGGGAACUUGUUAGAAAUGUAGGCUUGCAGGAUACUGGGAUGGUGGAUCUGCUGCAUGCUUAUGUCCAAGUGUACACAUACAAAGUGUGUGCUUUAAGUUGUGUUCUCUAGGAAUGGAUUCUUGUACUGCAGUUACUGUCAUAGUCGUGGCUCGUGAUUGUGCUUAUAAUGUGUUUAUCCAGCCUGGCUCCGCACAGGCCUUGGCUAUAAUGCAGAAGGAAAGUGCCUGACCCAUCUGGGGUUGAUCCAGGUGGUCCUGUUUAAUGCCAUGUCCCACCCACUGGGCUACAUAUCUCUGGUAUAAUGGGCAUUCCAAGUGGGCCUCUGUUGGAGGGAAGCCUUAGCAAGAGGGUGGCUUUGUAGAAGUGCUGCCAGAUUUGUUUCCAUGGGGACUGGUAAAGCAGAUCAGCUCUUUGACUCUGGCUAGUUUUGAUGUGUUUUAAAGCAUGAGCCUGUCCCAGGAAGUGGAUCUGCUAGCACCUGUGUUAAUGAAGAUCAAUGUGCUGAAAGGUCUCAGUCUUCCAUUAAGGUAACUUGCCUGUACACUGGAUUUGCAGUUCUGGUCCAUCUGGUGUCCCUCGUCUAGCUGUCCACCCGUGAACUAGAAUGAGGUGACCGGUGGUCCAGAUCACCCAGCACUGCCCGUGUUUCCCCUUCCUGUCCCUCUCAGUCUGGUGUCUCGGAUUUGGCCCUGCGUUGCCCACUCCUGAUGCAUCUUGUCCAGUGAGGAACAAAACACCCUGCCACCUGCCUGAAGAACAGGAAGAAAAGAAGUUACAGAGGCAGAUUCCAGCGCAUCCAGAGACCGAGAUGUUGAUGCUCAGAGGGAGCUGGGAUCACCAAGACAUGUACUUCCAGAAGCCCCAGGGGACAAGAGUCACACUGACCCAAUUAGUAGAUGUGCUGACAGUGACCACAUGGCAUAGACAUCAGCACCCUGGCUGCCCAUCCAAGAUCCAUCAAAUUGAAGAUAGCACAGCAAAAUCUCACUUUGUGAAACCUGGCACAAGGACUAGAGAAGCCAGAGCAGCAGCAUAUAUCCCAAAACCACCGGAAAAAGCUGGAGAGAAUGGCAUGUUGACCUGUGGUUGGCUAUACCAAUAGUUAUUGUGAGAAGAGACCUCUUCCCCAUCAGAUCCCACCACAUCUGGACACCACUCUCCACCAUAAGCCUGGAGUCUCGCUUCAGCUGGCAACCUUCCACUCAGCCUUCCUUGUGAGGAAAUGCCCUGUUUCUCCUCCAUAUUCUGGAUUCACUCGUUACACCCAGCACCGGCCACCUUAAAUAGAAGCACCCUGAGACAUUCAUACUUCUCAGAAGCUGCCAAAGAAUGUCACCCUUGUGUCACCCUGGGUCACAUAGAACCUGGGUCCACUUCUGAUAGAUGCUGCCUGACCUGGUCAGAGAGUCGCUCCUUCCUCAGUUUUGGUACCCUUCUCCCUGCCUCUCUCAUCCCGGUUGUGACUUUGCCAGUGCCUGCUAUUUGGAUUGCAUGAAGAGGGAGAAGGUUUGGUUGGAGGAAUCGAUGCCUUGGUCUGCUGGGAGGCUGAAACCUGCUCUAACCUAGGCAGAAGGUCACCAACCCUCAUCUCAUGCCCUGCCUUGUCCCCUACCCAUGACUCAAUCGUACCUCUGUGUCUGUCCUAUCCUGGACAGUUGUACUUUAUUUUUUUUCAAUUAAACAGAAUUUGGUUA
rnacentral:sRNA from 1 species